rnacentral:rRNA from 1 species
UAACACAUGCAAGUCGAGCGAGCGAGAAUGAUUCUUCGGAUAUGGUAAGCGCGGCGGACGGGUAGGUAACCGGUAGGAAUCUACCUGGUAGAAGGGGAUAGCCCGGGAAACUCGGAUUAAUACCGUAUACCUCUUCGGGAGAAAGAGGGCCUCUCUUUGAACGUUUCGCUACUAGAUGAGCCUGCGUAAGAUUAGCUUGUUGGUGAGGUAAAGGCUCACCAAGGCAACGAUCUUUAGCGGGUCUGAGAGGACGAUCCGCCACAUUGGGACUGAGACACGGCCCAGACUCCUACGGGAGGCAGCAGUGGGGAAUAUUGGACAAUGGGCGCAAGCCUGAUCCAGCCAUACCGCGUGUGUGAAGAAGGCCCUAGGGUUGUAAAGCACUUUAAGUUGGGAAGAAAAGUUAUUGGUUAAUACCCAAUAACCGUGACAUUACCUUCAGAAUAAGGACCGGCUAAUUCCGUGCCAGCAGCCGCGGUAAUACGAAGGUCCAAGCGUUAACUGAAUUACUGGGCGUAAGNGUGUGUAGGUGGUUUAUUAAGUUGGAUGUGAAUCCCCGGGCUCAACCUGGGAACUGCAUCCAAAACUGAUUCACUAGAGUACGAUAGAGGGAGGUAGAAUUCACAGUGUAGCGGUGAAAGNGAGAUAUCAUGAGGAAUACCAAUGGCGAAGGCACUCUCUGGACGUAACUGACGCUGAGGUGCGAAAGNGUGGUAGCAAACAGGAUUAGAUACCCUGGUAGUCCACGCHGAAACGAUGACAACUAGCCGUUGGCUUNUCGAGUUCWAUGGCACACGUAACGCAUUAAGUUGUCCGCCUGGGGAGUAGGAGUACCGCCGCAGCUCAAAUGAAUUGACGGGGGCCGCACAAGCGGAGCAUGUGGUUUAAUUCGAUGCAACGCGAAAAACCUUACCAACCCUUGACAUCCUAGUGAAAUUUCUAGAGAUAGAUUUGUGCCUUCGGGAACACUAGACAGGUGUUGCAUGGUGUCGUCAGCUCGGUCGUGAGAUGUAUGGUUAAGUCCAGUAACGAGCGCAACCCUUAUCCUUAUUUGCCAGCACUUCGGGUGGGAACUCUAAGGAGACUGCCGUGAAUAACACGGAGGAAGGUGGGGACGACGUCGAAUCAUCAUGGCCUUACGGGUUGGGCUACACACGUGCUACAAUGGAGAUACAGAUGGUUSSGAAGCGCGAGUUGGAGCCAAUCCCACAAAGUCUUCCUUAGUCCGGAUUGGUGUCUGCAACUCGACUCCAUGAAGCAGGAAUCGCUGUAAUCGCGAAUCAGAAUGUCGCGGUGAAUACGUUCUCGGGCCUUGUACACACCGCCCGU